UGACCUCGGAUCAGGUAGGAAUACCCGCUGAACUUAAGC
rnacentral:rRNA from 15 species